rnacentral:misc_RNA from 1 species
AACGCACCUUGCGCCCUUUGGUAUUCCGAAGGGCAUGCCUGUUUGAGUGUCAUUAAAUUAUCAACCUUGCUCGCUUUUACUAGCUUGAGUUAGGCUUGGAUGUGAGGGCUUGCUGGCUUCCUUCAGUGGAUGGUCUGCUCCCUUUAAAUGCAUUAGUGGGAUCUCUUGUGGACCGUCACUUGGUGUGAUAAUUAUCUAUGCCUUGAGACUUUGAAGCAAACUAAUGGGAAUCCGCUUAUAACCGUCUUCGGACAAAUUAAUGACUAUUUGACCUCAAAUCAGGUAGGACUACCCGCUGAACUUAA